AUGCAAGUCGAACGAGAAGCCUUGGAUUUAUCUAAGUGUGGAGAGUGGCGCACGGGUGAGUAACACAUGGCUGACCUGCCCCUCAGAGGGGGACAACCGGUGGAAACGCCGGCUAAUACCCCAUGCUUGCGUCCGGGUUAGAGGCCGGAUGCAGAAAGUGCCGAGGCGCUGAGGGAGGGGGCUGUGGACCAUCAGCUAGUUGGUAGGGUAACGGCCUACCAAGGCGAGGACGGAUAGGGGGCCUGAGAGGGUGACCCCCCACACGGGCACUGAGACACGGGCCCGACUCCUACGGGAGGCAGCAGUAAGGGAUAUUGCGACAAUGGGCGAAAGCCUGACGCAGCAACGCCGCGUGGAGGAUGAAGGCCUUCGGGUUGUAAACUCCUUUUCUGUGGGAAGAGGAAGGACGGUACCACAGGAAGAAGUCUCGGCUAACUACGUGCCAGCAGCCGCGGUAAAACGUAGGAGGCGAGCGUUAUCCGGAUUUACUGGGUGUAAAGCGCGUGCAGGCGGCCUGGUAAGUCGAGCGUGAAAGCUCCCGGCUCAACCGGGAGAGGACGUGCGAAACUGCGAGGCUAGAGACAGGUAGAGGCGUACGGAAUUCCGGGUGUAGUGGUGAAAUGCGUAGAUAUCCGGAGGAACACCAGUGGCGGAGGCGGUACGCUGGGCCUGGUCUGACGCUAAGACGCGAAAGCAUGGGGAGCGAACGGGAUUAGAAACCCCGGUAGUCCAUGCCGUAAACGAUGCUAACUAGGUGUUGCGGGUAAAAGACCGGCAGUGCCGGAGUUAACGCGAUAAAGUUAGCCACCUGGGGACUACGGUCGC
rnacentral:rRNA from 1 species